AAAAUGAAGCUCAACCAGAAACUUGGUGCUGAAUUGAAUUAACAUCCAAAGGACCUCAAGAACCUGUGAAGAUGGCACACACACUGCUUUCCCGACAUCACUCAGCUCCACCAAGAAGCUGAGAGUGCCUCCGCCAGGGACCGACUGCUUCAAAAAUUGGAAGAGCUCUCAUCUCUUUGGCUUUUAACUCACCAAGCUCAACCUGAGCCUCACAGAGCCAGAUGUCUGGGGCCUGGCACUGGUGCCAGUGAACCAUCCACAUCGGGAAGUGCGUGGACAUGAAUUGGAUGACUGUCCUUUCUGUCUGCCUUUGCCCUAGGAUUUCAAAAAUAUCUAUAACCAAUUGGACUGCAUGAAUCGAUCUAGUAACAAGAGUGAGGACUGAGGAGAGAACUGGUGACCAGGAUGUUACCCAACCUCUGCCUUGGACGAGCAGAGUGGGUAGUCUGAGCCUGUCAGUCCAUCUUGCUAGACCUGUGCUCACCCGGGACAAGAUGGGGGAGGAUGGGACCAUCUUCAAGGCCCUUCAGUGUGAUGUAUUAAGAAAGGCCAUCUUAGGGACCCCGCCUGAGGACAGUGUCAUGGUGGCUCUCACAUACAUGCAGCACAUGAAAGCAGGGCCCAGACUGGAGGACGGAACUGGGCAGGGGUGGGUGGAUUGCUGGAGCGCUGCUUUUCGCAGCUUUAUACUAGUAGCAUUUUUUCUCCUGCUACUUAUAUUAGAAUCUCAACAUCAUAGCUUGAAUUUAUUUGAAGUGGAGUAAUUAUAUGGCAGAAUAAUAUGUUAAGAUACAGUUUUUCUUCCCAAAUUUCCCUUUACCCUUUGGCUCCCCAAUUCCCAUUCAUCAGUCAGACAUUUAGUGACUCUGGGGCAGGAGUAAUAAUAGAAGCGAGGUAUCCCAGGAGAGUGAGGUCUUUUCCGUCUUUCCCUGGCUUUUGGUGGUCAGAUAAGAGAAGGUUUGCAACCGAGAGAUGAGAGCGAAGAGACGCUCAAUACUCCCCGGGCAGGGCAGCCUGAGGGUGGGAAGGGAGGAGAGCAGAGUUGCUUUAAUCUAGCACAAUGGGAUCCCCAAACAGAAAUUCAUGUGAGUUACCCAAGAGUGAAGAAAGUUUCAUUUCUUGCACAUGAAAAUCUGUAAAUGGAGAUUGUGUACCAGAUACACCUACU